rnacentral:rRNA from 1 species
UACGUAGGGUGCGAGCGUUGUUCGGAGUUACUGGGCGUAAAGCGUGCGUAGGCGGUUUUGUAAGUUUGGUGUGAAAUCUCCCGGCUCAACUGGGAGGGUGCGCCGAAAACUGCAAGGCUGGAGUGUGGGAGAGGUAGGCGGAAUUCCUGGUGUAGCGGUGAAAUGCGUAGAUAUCAGGAGGAACACCUGUGGUGUAGACGGCUUACUGGACCAUGACUGACGCUGAGGCACGAAAGCGUGGGGAGCAAACAGG